rnacentral:rRNA from 1 species
ACGUGGGUAACCUGCCUGUAAGACUGGGAUAACUCCGGGAAACCGGGGCUAAUACCGGAUGGUUGUUUGAACCGCAUGGUUCAAACAUAAAAGGUGGCUUCGGCUACCACUUACAGAUGGACCCGCGGCGCAUUAGCUAGUUGGUGAGGUAACGGCUCACCAAGGCGACGAUGCGUAGCCGACCUGAGAGGGUGAUCGGCCACACUGGGACUGAGACACGGCCCAGACUCCUACGGGAGGCAGCAGUAGGGAAUCUUCCGCAAUGGACGAAAGUCUGACGGAGCAACGCCGCGUGAGUGAUGAAGGUUUUCGGAUCGUAAAGCUCUGUUGUUAGGGAAGAACAAGUACCGUUCGAAUAGGGCGGUACCUUGACGGUACCUAACCAGAAAGCCACGGCUAACUACGUGCCAGCAGCCGCGGUAAUACGUAGGUGGCAAGCGUUGUCCGGAAUUAUUGGGCGUAAAGGGCUCGCAGGCGGUUUCUUAAGUCUGAUGUGAAAGCCCCCGGCUCAACCGGGGAGGGUCAUUGGAAACUGGGGAACUUGAGUGCAGAAGAGGAGAGUGGAAUUCCACGUGUAGCGGUGAAAUGCGUAGAGAUGUGGAGGAACACCAGUGGCGAAGGCGACUCUCUGGUCUGUAACUGACGCUGAGGAGCGAAAGCGUGGGGAGCGAACAGGAUUAGAUACCCUGGUAGUCCACGCCGUAAACGAUGAGUGCUAAGUGUUAGGGGGUUUCCGCCCCUUAGUGCUGCAGCUAACGCAUUAAGCACUCCGCCUGGGGAGUACGGUCGCAAGACUGAAACUCAAAGGAAUUGACGGGGGCCCGCACAAGCGGUGGAGCAUGUGGUUUAAUUCGAAGCAACGCGAAGAACCUUACCAGGUCUUGACAUCCUCUGACAAUCCUAGAGAUAGGACGUCCCCUUCGGGGGCAGAGUGACAGGUGGUGCAUGGUUGUCGUCAGCUCGUGUCGUGAGAUGUUGGGUUAAGUCCCGCAACGAGCGCAACCCUUGAUCUUAGUUGCCAGCAUUCAGUUGGGCACUCUAAGGUGACUGCCGGUGACAAACCGGAGGAAGGUGGGGAUGACGUCAAAUCAUCAUGCCCCUUAUGACCUGGGCUACACACGUGCUACAAUGGACAGAACAAAGGGCAGCGAAACCGCGAGGUUAAGCCAAUCCCACAAAUCUGUUCUCAGUUCGGAUCGCAGUCUGCAACUCGACUGC